GGGCCUAUAGCUCAGCCUGGCAGAGCCACCGGCUCAUAACCGGUCGGUCCCUGGUUCAAAUCCAGGUGGGCCCACCA
rnacentral:tRNA from 3 species